GGGAGAAGAGGCAUGCCAGAGAAAGAAACACUGAAAGAGCGCUGGUAGAGGUAGAAAGAGCACUAGGAGUGAGCGGUAUCUCAUAGACUGAGAUUACUGAGGAUGAGAAGAAGCUGUUGAUGAUCAACAGAGUGACGAGCGUGGAAUCCAGAUUGAAGCGGGUCAAGCAGAGAGUUGGAUUCAAGGAAGUCUGUCAAUCUAGCAUACACAACUCUCUCAAGGAUCUUGGAGGCAAACGGCAGUAGCG